rnacentral:rRNA from 1 species
UGAGGAAUAUUGGUCAAUGGGCGGAAGCCUGAACCAGCCAAGUCGCGUGAGGGAAGACGGUCCUAUGGAUUGUAAACCUCUUUUGUCGGGGAGCAAGGCCACUCACGAGUGAGUGGAAGGAGAGUACCCGAAGAAAAAGCAUCGGCUAACUCCGUGCCAGCAGCCGCGGUAAUACGGAGGAUGCGAGCGUUAUCCGGAUUUAUUGGGUUUAAAGGGUGCGUAGGCGGACUGUUAAGUCAGCGGUCAAAUGUCGGUGCUCAACGCCGGCCUGCCGUUGAAACUGGCGGUCUUGAGUGAGCGAGAAGUAUGCGGAAUGCGUGGUGUAGCGGUGAAAUGCAUAGAUAUCAACGCAGAACUCCGAUUGCGAAGGCAGCAUACCGGCGCUCAACUGACGCUGAGGCACGAAAGGCGUGGGGAUCGAACAGGAUUAGAUACC